rnacentral:rRNA from 1 species
UACAGAGACUGCAAGCGUUAUUCGGAUUCACUGGGCGUAAAGGGUGCGCAGGCGGCCGGGUGUGUCAGAUGUGAAAUCCCGAGGCUUAACCUCGGAACUGCGUCUGAAACUACUCGGCUAGAGUACUGGAGAGGGUAACGGAAUUCACGGUGUAGCAGUGAAAUGCGUAGAUAUCAGGAGGAACACCGGUGGCGAAGGCGGAUCUCUGGGCCGAUACUGACGCUGAGGAGCGAAAGCGUGGGGAGCGAACAGG